rfam:Yarrowia lipolytica complete mitochondrial genome, strain W29
GCAAAUAUAGGUUAAUGGUAGACCAAAUGAUUUCCAAUCAUUAUGUGCUAGUUCGAGUCUAGUUAUUUGUA